CCUACGGGAGGCAGCAGUGAGGAAUAUUGGUCAAUGGGCGCGAGCCUGAACCAGCCAAGUCGCGUGAGGGAGGACGGCCCUACGGGUUGUAAACCUCUUUUGCCGGGGAGCAACUGGCGGCACGUGUGGCGCCACGGAGAGGACCCGGAGAAAAAGCGGCGGCGAACUCCGUGCCAGCAGCCGCGGUAAUACGGAGGAUGCGAGCGUUAUCCGGAUUUAUUGGGUUUAACGGGUGCGUAGGCGGAUCGUUAAGUCAGUGGUCAAAUUGAGGGGCUCAACCCCUUCCCGCCAUUGAAACUGGCGCUCUUCAGUGGAAGAGACGUAUGCGGCAUGCGUGGUGUCGCGGUGACAUGCAUAGAUAUCACGCAGAACCCCGAUUGCGAAGGCAGCAUGCCGGCUUCCGACUGCCGCUGACGCACG
rnacentral:rRNA from 1 species